GAAUCUGGAGCCUCUCCGAGAGGCUAUGAAUGUGAGGGUUAGACCACGUUAAUGCCAAUGGAGCAACUACCCGGAAAAUAAAACCACCGGGCAGAACUUUCUCCUUUGGAGAGCAGUUUCAAGCACAUAGGAGCAGGUGAGGAGGCAACUUUGAGGAGCAGAAGCAGCCUCCUGUGCACCUCGUCACGAAGGCAGCGCCCUUCUCUGCUGGUGGAAAGAUUUGAACUCUACCCAAGAUGGUUGACUGUGGGAACAUCUGUAUUUUCCAGGACUCAGUCACCUGCUGCAAAGGAGUCUGGAAAAUGUAGUUUAAGUGUGUCCGGGAAGAAGAGGAAUCAAGUUUUGUGAACAGCUAGCCAGCUUCUGCCACAAAGAGUAAGUGUACUUUUAAUUUAAAUGUGUAUCACCAAGUCAUUUUUGCAAAUGUCUGUUACAAUUCC